rnacentral:lncRNA from 1 species
CGCGGAGCCGGGAGCGCGCCGCCUGCUGCCGAGCGCUCGCCGCUCUCUCGCGCCCCUGCUCGCUGCGCUGCCCGCACCCCCGUGGAGCGCCCGGCAGCCGCCGGAGCGCGGGAGGCACACCCCGCCGGGCUCGGGCCGAGGCGGCGCGACCGCAGGUCCGACAGCCGAGGGCGCCGCGGAGGCCGGAGCGGAGGCGAAGUCCAGCCCUGAGUGAGCCCAGCUUCUGCGGAUCAGCCCGCCCAUGCUGCAGAGAAACUGGCUGUUACUCCCACUUCUGGAUGUCACAUUUCCUGUUUGUGUGCCUGGACUGAGUGAGGGAGACCUGGUGGUGAAGGGCAACGGGAGGACAGAGGCCUUCUUACAGGUUUACACACUGCUGAGCUGUGGUUAACCAGCCUGGAGCCUCUAAUUCCACUGGCCUGUAGAGUGUCCGCUGGAGGCAGCUAGGGGGGAUGA